rnacentral:rRNA from 1 species
UGCAAGUCGAACGAUGAACCCCAGCUUGCUGGGGGGAUUAGUGGCGAACGGGUGAGUAACACGUGAGUAACCUGCCCUUAACUCUGGGAUAAGCCUUGGAAACGAGGUCUAAUACUGGAUAUUGACUUUUCCCCGCAUGGGGUUUGGUUGAAAGAUUUAUUGGUUUUGGAUGGACUCGCGGCCUAUCAGCUUGUUGGUGAGGUAAUGGCUCACCAAGGCGACGACGGGUAGCCGGCCUGAGAGGGUGACCGGCCACACUGGGACUGAGACACGGCCCAGACUCCUACGGGAGGCAGCAGUGGGGAAUAUUGCACAAUGGGCGAAAGCCUGAUGCAGCGACGCCGCGUGAGGGAUGACGGCCUUCGGGUUGUAAACCUCUUUCAGUAGGGAACAAGGCCAGCAUUUUUGUUGGUUGAGGGUACUUGCAGAAGAAGCGCCGGCUAACUACGUGCCAGCAGCCGCGGUAAUACGUAGGGCGCAAGCGUUAUCCGGAAUUAUUGGGCGUAAAGAGCUCGUAGGCGGUUUGUCGCGUCUGCCGUGAAAGUCCGGGGCUCAACCCCGGAUCUGCGGUGGGUACGGGCAGACUAGAGUGAUGUAGGGGAGACUGGAAUUCCUGGUGUAGCGGUGAAAUGCGCAGAUAUCAGGAGGAACACCGAUGGCGAAGGCAGGUCUCUGGGCAUUAACUGACGCUGAGGAGCGAAAGCAUGGGGAGCGAACAGGAUUAGAUACCCUGGUAGUCCAUGCCGUAAACGUUGGGCACUAGGUGUGGGGGACAUUCCACGUUUUCCGCGCCGUAGCUAACGCAUUAAGUGCCCCGCCUGGGGAGUACGGCCGCAAGGCUAAAACUCAAAGGAAUUGACGGGGGCCCGCACAAGCGGCGGAGCAUGCGGAUUAAUUCGAUGCAACGCGAAGAACCUUACCAAGGCUUGACAUGAACCGGAAACACCUGGAAACAGGUGCCCCGCUUG